UGGGGGUCAAGCAUUUAAGACCUGGUGGUUUUCUUUAAAGGUUACUUAUUCCCAAGUUGAAAUGGGAAUGGAUCACUAUGUAAUUCGUGACUUGGUUGCUGACCUGACCCAACCUGGGGCCUUGUCGUAAUGGGUAUCCCCAGUUAGACCGGGACUAGAGACCACCCCAGUUACCCAACCUAACCUCCAGCAUCCUGCCCUGAGUUGGAUGAAUUUUGAAUGUAUAACAAAAUAGCAUAACUAUCCAAAUUACAAACUCUGGGAUAGGUCUAUUACCGAGACCGACCCAACCGAGUCCGACCGUCUGAA
rnacentral:lncRNA from 1 species